rnacentral:rRNA from 1 species
UACGUAGGUGGCGAGCGUUGUCCGGAUUUAUUGGGUUUAAAGGGUGCGUAGGCGGUCCUAUAAGUCAGUGGUGAAAUCUCUGGGCUUAACCCAGAAAUUGCCAUUGAUACUGUAGGGCUUGAGUAUAGAUGCCGUUGGCGGAAUAUGACAUGUAGUGGUGAAAUACAUAGAGAUGUCAUAGAACACCGAUUGCGAAGGCAGCUAACGAAACUAUAACUGACACUGAGGCUCGAAAGUGUGGGGAUCAAACAGG